UACCUACGGGGGGCAGCAGUGGGGAAUAUUGGACAAUGGGGGGAACCCUGAUCCAGCGACGCCGCGUGAGUGAAGAAGUAUUUCGGUAUGUAAAGCUCUAUCAGUAGGGAAGAAAAUGACGGUACCUGACUAAGAAGCCCCGGCUAACUACGUGCCAGCAGCCGCGGUAAUACGUAGGGGGCAAGCGUUAUCCGGAUUUACUGGGUGUAAAGGGAGCGUAGACGGCGGUGCAAGCCAGAUGUGAAAGCCCGGGGCUCAACCCCGGGACUGCAUUUGGAACUGUGCUGCUAGAGUGUCGGAGAGGC
rnacentral:rRNA from 1 species